AAACUAGUACCAUUUCAGACCAAAUAGAAAGCGCCCUCGAAUCAUUGAAAGAUCAGUUAGAAGAAUCGUCUACAAAUUGUUACCAAACUGGUGAGACACACCAAGAUAUAUUAAACAGUUUUCAGUGUAUACGAGGAAAAUCAAUCAGCGAAAUGGGUUGCAUUAUGAGACAUACUCUUAGGGUAAUCAAGAGAAUGGUUAAUCAAUGUAGUUGAACAUAAGUUGACUCGUGAAACGCGUUAUCUUCAAAAUCAACGCAAUUACCUUUGCAAGUGGUAGA